CACGCAGGCGGUUGGAUAAGUUAGAUGUGAAAGCCCCGGGCUCAACCUGGGAAUUGCAUUUAAAACUGUCCAGCUAGAGUCUUGUAGAGGGGGGUAGAAUUCCAGGUGUAGCGGUGAAAUGCGUAGAGAUCUGGAGGAAUACCGGUGGCGAAGGCGGCCCCCUGGACAAAGACUGACGCUCAGGUGCGAAAGCGUAGGGAGCAAACAGGAUUAGAUACCCUGGUAGUCCACGCCGUAAACGAUGUCGAUUUGGAGGCUGUGUCCUUGAGACGUGGCUUCCGGAGCUAACGCGUUAAAUCGACCGCCUGGGGAGUACGGCCGCAAGGUUAAA
rnacentral:rRNA from 1 species